rnacentral:tRNA from 1 species
GGGCGUAUAGCUCAGCGGUAGAGCGCUACCUUCACACGGUAGAUGUCCCAAGUUCGAUCCUUGGUACGCCCA